rnacentral:lncRNA from 1 species
CAGUCCCACCCCCCGACCUCCGGGGAGGAGAGAGGGAUUGAAGGUUAAGUUGAUCUUCAAUGGCCAAUGAUUUAAUCAAUCAUGCCUGUGUAAUGAAGCCUUCAUAAAAACCUAAAAAAGGACGGGGUUUGGAGAGCUUCCUGUAAGCGAACCCGUGAAGGUUCCAGGAGGAUGGCGCACCCGGAAAGGGCGUGGAAGCUCCGCGCCCCUUCCCACAGACUUUCCCCCAUCCAUCUCUUCAUCUGGUGUUCAUCGAUAGCCUUUGUAAUGUCCUUAAUAGUAAACCGGAAAACGUGUUUAAUGGUAAGCUGGGAUGCAUAUAAGCUAGUCCAAGCAUGAAGGGCAGUAGGACACUCAUAUGAAAAGCCAACUUUGUUCCUCAGUUAUCAAGAUAAGAAACCUGUCAUUUCUCUCAUUCACUCUGUCAGCCUUGAGAUACUCCAAGCAGACUUACCUCUGUGUUGUACACCCCAUAUAUCAGGAAGAUGAAGAGACCCUGUAAAAUAAAAUGGAGGGGAAAAGCUGUUAACGCUAAUCAUUUCAGCAGUAGAAAUACCUGAAAUAAACUUUCCUGGGAACAGACAAAAGAAGACACACUUCAUCAAGUAAAUUCACUUUUAACUCUAAAAUCUUAACUUUUAAAAGAAAAUAAAACUAUAUGCUUUAAACUUAGAGAAAACAGACAGCAAAAAAUUUUCACUUCAGUGAGGAAAUAAAAAUCUACAUUGUAGUAUUCUUGUUAGGUACUAACAAGCCAAAUAUUAAAUAGGAGUCUGUACUAAAUCUAGAAAUGGUUCAAAUAGUUAAGUAAUAUGAUUCUUUCAAAAGUAAAAUAUUAAAGGAAUAUUUUAAUAUUUGUUUAUCUCUGAAUGCUUAGAUUUUACAGAUAAUGGAAACAAUCCCAGAACAAAGAGAUUGUAUAAAACUAGUGAUUCUUGUUUUUAUUUAGUUUCUUUUUAAAUAGACUUUGUUUUUUACAGCAAUUUUAGUUUUACAGAAAAAUUGAUAAGAUAGUACUCAGGCAUGUACACCUAACAGCAUGGUAAGGAAGCCCCAGAAGGAUGUUUCUAAAGACCAUGAGGGAGUCUGAAACCUGAAAUCAUGCCAAGGACUCUCUGCUUCUCUUUCACUUGGGGUGUCUAUCUGAUGCUGCCACAACCAGUUGAAACGUAUAACAUUAACAAUAAAAAUUAGUUUUUUUGUAACUAAGUUGAGCCUUUACUAUGAACACAAAUUGUUGGGUACUUAAAUGGCCAGGGUAUCUGACUUUCAGCAUUCUAGUCUCCUGAUUCAUCAAACCCAGGGUUUCAACUAUUAUACAUAUAUUAUACAUAUACUGAUUGGUGUAAAAUUUGGUGUACUGUACAUUACACCAAAAAAACUCUUUGAAAUAAGAAAUAUGUAUGAAACUUAAAAAUCAACAAUAAGAUGGCAGAAGGCCAAAACGUUUGGAAAUCCCCCUUAAAUCUAGUCCUAGUCAUAGUAUUUAUAUGAGCCAGUACCUCGAAGGCUAGCUCUGUGCAAGUUCCCUUUUCCAGUGUGUGACAUUUAAUUUGUUCAUUCAUAAACAUUUACAUGAUAUUUUACACAUUAUAAGUGGUUUCUAUGGAACAUGAUUUCAUUUUAGCCUUACUAUAACUCCAUUUUUAAAAGGAAGAAAAUAAAUGACUUUCCCAGGAUUGUAAAAUAAAAUAACAGAGUGAAGAUAGAACCUACAUUUUUGUGGCUUCUAGUUUGGCAUUUGUUCAUGAUAGCACGCUUCUGUUUAACAAACAAAAUGGCUUAUUCAUGUUGGCUUCUUAUUUAUAGGUAUCAUCUCUGCUCACUUCAUAUGUUAGGCCAAAAAUUAAUUGAUGAGUUUCUUACAGAAGAUAGUAUAUAAACACAAAUUCCUUAGAUGGAUUUAAAGUCUUAUCUAACCUAUUUUUCAAAGGAUGAAUAGGAGUUCCCCAGAGAGCUACAUUCUUAAUAAAACCUCACUUCUUUAAGAUUCGUCUCUGGGAAGAGAUUUACCCAGUAGAGAUCAGAGCCGGACAUUUUAUUGUUUUCCAAGUUUGACCUUUUCAUUUCAGGAGCAUCAAGCAUGAAGAGCCAAUCCAGUUUAAGUGUGGGCAUCUUGAGAGUAACACUGUGUCUUGUUCCUUCUUGUGUUCCUGCUAUUGACUGCAAUGCUCAGUAAAUGUUUCAGGCAUCCACGAAUGAAUGAUUGAACAAAUCAACAAUUAAUCAAUUAAUAAAUGAAAGCUAUCAUCAUCAGGUGGAAAUAAUGCUUUUAAGUAAGACUAAGGGCUUUUAUCACUACAGAGCAUAAUAGAAAGGAAACAAGCCAAUUAAUAAGAAAUAAUUUUGCUUAAAAAAUAAUUUUUCAGGCCUGGCUCGGUGGCCUCACAUCUGUAAUUCCAGCACUUUGGGAGGCCAAGGCAGGAGGAUCACUUGAGCCCAGGAGUCUGAGACCACCCUGGGCAACAUGGUGAAACCCUAUCUCUACAAAAAAUACAAAAAAUUAGCCGGGUGUGGUGGUGCGUGCCUGUAGUCCCAGCUACUCAGGAGGCUGAGGUGAGAGGAUCACUUGAGCCCGGGAGGUCGAGGCUGCAAUGAGCCAUAGUCGCCACCGCAUUCCAGCCUGGGUGACAGAGUGAGACCUUGCCUCGAAAAAAAAAAAAUUCCCCCAGGAAUUUCUAGAUUUAUUCCAUCCUAGUGAAUGAAUGAAUAAGUGAAUGAUUGCAGAGUUCUAUACAGAAUCAAGGACAAAUUCCCACAGCAUGCCAUGAAAUGUUCAUUUUUAGGCUGAUUUAAACCUGAUCAUCUCAGAACUUUGGUUGCAGUUAAGUCAUUGGUUCAUUCACUUUGUCAUUUAUCCACCUAUUUAUUCUAUACAGGAGUCAUUUCUUUAUUUGUUUCUUUGUAAAAUUUAUUGAGUACUUAAAAUGCUGCAAAGUCACUGAGGUAAAGGCUAUGGGGAAAGACAAAGGCCACGAUGGAGGUAUAGAAAAAAUGCUUUCAGGAUUCAGAGAAGCAAAAUCAUUUCCAUAGCUCAGAGAGGAUGAUGGUGGUGGGAGUUAACAUGGAUGAGUGAAGGGGGUAGUAGUGGGCAAACGUUUUCCUUCUUUAAUUUUAAUUGGAUCAAUUAAAUAAAUAAAUUUGAUUUGGGCCUUGAAUUUGGAACACAUGAGUUCUUUUUCUGGAAAGCAAAAGAAGUGGAAAAGUACUAGUUUUUUCAAACCAUUUUAAUCAUUGCAAUAACUGAUUUUAUUAUUUUAAAUCUCUAUGUAGUGAGAAAGAAAGAAUCAAGAAAGAUUGGAAAAGUUAAAAACGUUCAUAAACAUAGUUGUUUAGUUUCUUGUGUAUUUCCCAAAAAUUGCCAUUAAGCAAACAAAAUGCAACCCUCGUGUGCUUCCUGUUUAUAAAGUUAAAUAUCUUUGAGUAUUUGAGGCUAUAUGAUUUCCCCUUUUCCUAUCAUUUAGGGUGAAAAAGAAAUUAAACAAUUGGUAGGACUUCCCCUAGUAAAGUCACUUCUCAAAUAAAAUUCUGCUGCUACAAAGUACAGUUUCUGUGCCUGGAAAUUAGAAUUGCUUGAGACAUACUAGUUUCACCCACAAGUCUUAUUCUAGUCUCCUACCAGUUAAUAAAAUGUGUUAUCAGGAGACUUGAGUUCAAGGAUCAUUAUAAUUCCUUCAGCCUUGUACUGCCACAGCAGGGCGUGAGUGGAGGAAGAAGAGAAUCACCACAUAUCGUAUUUAGAGGUCCUGCAGAAAGGGCAGAGCGAGUUUCAUGUUUGAGUGCAGCGGAUGCAUGGGCAAAGCAUUACACAGCCGCUCCAUGGAAGUGACAAUGAGCCUUGUCUUUCACACGUAACUCCAGGAACCAGGGGAAACAAAACCAAUUCCACCCAGAGGUACAGACAAAGAAGAGCACCCUCCCAAAGGAGCCCGCAUGAUAAGUGGCCACGGCGAACAUCACUGUGAUCAGUCAGAAAGGCAGGCGAGUUAUUAGCUUAGCCCUGAACCUCCUACUUAAUGUAGAACCAGUGGUGAUGGUUAACAGACCCUGGCUGCAGUGACAAGCCUGGGACCUGCUCGAGGAAAUCCAAUUGAAAAGCAGCCAAGAGGAACAACAAGCUAGAAACAGAUGUUCCAGCUACCAGGAUGUGCACGCAUUUAACCUGAACAUGUAGUUGGGGUGGGAUGGUAGCAUUCGUUUCUAAAUAUAGUGAUUUCACUUCUUCCCCCAUAUAGAUAUUGUCAAGUUUAAUUAUAGCCAUCCACAUUAGUUUUGUCAAAUUUUCAGCAAUUUCUUUAAAAUAAGAAGAUGUCAGAAUGAUAACUGCUAUUAAGGGAAUUCAGGGUGUUUGGUUUAUCUACCCAGUCUUACUAAAACAUUUCAGUUAAAUCAUCCACUCUUAAACUCCAGUCUCAUAGCAAUUAAAAAUUAUCUUUUAAAAAAUUGCCCAAAUGAAAUUCCAACAGUUCAUGUAAUUAUUUGAUUUAAUAUUACCAUGUUAGUAAAAUAUCUUUAAGAUAGUCUUGAACUCCUGGACUUGAGUGAUCCACCCUCCUCAGCCUUCCAAAGUGCUAGGAUUACAGACGUGAGCCACCGCGCCCAGCCGGCAAACAAAAAUUUACCUAUGAUUCAAUAAAUGGUUUUCCCCUACCAGCCUUCCCCCACCACACAUAUACACUUUUUCUGAUUCUGUUUUACCAUAAUGAUGACACAGGUGCUUAACCAGCUCCGUGAGCUAUUGGGGUGGCUCCUUGCCUUGAUUUAGUCUUGUGCCCACACACUGACCCAUGCAGACUUAGCCAUGCAUCCAGCACAAAUUACGCUAUUUUACAUGUUUGGUUUAAUGUAUUCGUACCUGCUAGACAUUGUAGCCAAAAGAUUGUUUGCUGCCUAAUCCUAGCCAGCUCUUAGGGUGACUGCCUAAGCCUGUAUUGCUGGCUUCACAAGUUUUUUUGUUUCAGGUAAAUAAAAAUCAAAGAGCGUUCGAGGCAGCCGCAUUGACUCACCUUGCAGACAAGCAAGCAGAGCCGCAGAGCAGUGACCCGUGCCCAGCGCCUCGCAGCUAGAGCUGGAUUGGAAUCCAGGGCUUUGCAGGCUUCCUGCUUCACUCAAUCCUCUUUCUGUUGCCUCUGGCCUCAAGGUGUUGGCCUGGGAGGAAGUAGCAGAUUAAAUUCCAUGGGCACGAAGUCCGUAGCUGACGAAUACUUAAUAUGUUGCAGUUUCACAGUGAAAGUUGGCAAGUCCAGGGUGGGAACAUGCCCCAAGCAGCUGAGUCUUCUGGAUUUUACUUCUGUUCUUUGCCUCUCAAUUUUUGAUUUUGUUAUAUAAAAAGCAAAUCAGUAACUAUUGCAUUAUAUUCUGCAGUGACUCAACAGCGACACUUAAUUCAGCCAACCAAGGUUUACUGAACUGCUCGUGGUGCCGGGAACCGUGCUGGGAUAGGAUACAGGGACCAACCAGUCCUGAUCAUUAGCUUAGCCAGAGAGGUAAACUGACUGACAAUCAAUCUGCCAGGGAUCAAUUACUAUGGAAGCUCAUAGUGUGGGCCCCUAACCCAGACUGUGGGUCUGAGGAGGUCUCCUGGAGGUAGUGCUAUCCUAACAGAGACCUGAAGGGUACUUGGAAUCCAGCCACAGAAUACUAUUUACCAUCUCAUUUUACUCUCAUGAGAAUUCUCCCCACUGUAGGCAGGAUGGGUGUUGAUUUAAAAGAAAAAAAAAAAAGUAGCCUGGCGGGGUGGCUCACGCCUGUAAUCCCAGCACUUUGAGAGGCCAAGGCGGGCAGAUCAUCUGA